GCUUCGGUGUCCUAGUGGUUAGAACGUAAGCCUAGGGAGCGGGAGGUCGUGGGUUCGAACCCCAAUCGAGUCA